CCCUCAGAUGUUCUGGGCCGCACGCGUGCUACACUGAGUGGAUCAGCGGGUCAGGUUGCGCGAAAGUGUUUCCUAAUCUUUAAAUCCGCUCGUGAUGGGGAUUGACGGUUGCAAUUUUCCGUCAUGAACGAGGAAUACCUUGUAAGCGCGGGUCAUCAUCCCGCGCUGAAUACGUCCCUGCCCUUUGUACACACCGCCCGUCGCUCCUACCGAUUGAGUGGUCCGGUGAGGCUUUGGGAUCUGGGCGGAAAGAGCGUUUCGCUGUUUCUGCCCGGAAAACUCAGUCGAACCUUAUCAUUUAGAGGAAGGAGAAGUCGUAACA
rnacentral:rRNA from 1 species